ensembl:snRNA U12 U12 minor spliceosomal RNA
ACACCUUAAACUUAUGAGUAAAGAAAAUAAUGAUUUGGGGUGGUGCCCAAAUCCUCACUGCUAAUGUGAGAUGAAUUUUUGAGUGGGCAAAGGUUGCCCCUCUGGAGACCUGCCUACUUUGUGGGAUGCCUCGGAGUGGCAAUCUGCCCA